rnacentral:rRNA from 1 species
CCUACGGGAGGCAGCAGUGGGGAAUAUUGCACAAUGGGGGAAACCCUGAUGCAGCGACGCCGCGUGAGUGAAGAAGUAACUCGUUACGUAAAGCUCUAUCAGCAGGGAAGAAAAGGACGGUACCAGAGAAAGAAGCCGCGGAUAACUACGUGACAGCAGCCGCGGUAAUACGUAGGGGGCAAGCGUUAAACGGAUUUACUGGGUGUAAAGGGAGCGUAGGAGGUUGGGCAAGUCUGGCGUGAAAUGCCGAGGCUUAACUGGGGAACUGCCUUUGAAACUGGCGGAAUAGAGUGCGGGAGGGGGAAGCGGAAUUCCUAGUGUAGCGGUGAAAUGCGUAGAUAUGUGGAAGAACACCGGUGGCGAAGGCAGCUUACUGGACCGUAACUGACGUUGAGGCACGAAAGCGUGGGGAGCAAACAGGAUUAGAUACCCCGGUAGUC